GUGGGGAAUUUUCCACAAUGGGCGAAAGCCUGAUGGAGCAACGCCGCGUGUGUGAUGAAGGUCUUCGGAUCGUAAAGCACUUUCGACCGGGACGAAAAACCUCUGGCUAACAUCCAGGGGCCUGACGGUACCGGGAGAAGAAGCACCGGCUAACUCUGUGCCAGCAGCCGCGGUAAUACAGAGGGUGCAAGCGUUGUUCGGAAUUAUUGGGCGUAAAGCGCGUGUAGGCGGCUUGGCAAGUCAGAUGUGAAAGCCCAUGGCUUAACCAUGGAAGUGCGUCUGAAACUGCCGAGCUUGAGUGCCGGAGAGGAUGGCGGAAUUCCGCAAGUAGAGGUGAAAUUCGUAGAUAUGCGGAGGAACACCGGUGGCGAAGGCGGCCAUCUGGACGGCAACUGACGCUGAGACGCGAAAGCGUGGGGAGCAAACAGGAUUAGAAACCCUAGUAGUCC
rnacentral:rRNA from 1 species